rnacentral:snoRNA from 12 species
UGGGAGGCAGAUACCUGGACAGUCCAGAAGUGUGCGCUGUCUGUCACUGGUCCUCCCUAGAGAAUCCUUGCUCUCUGAUGACCGCGGCGAAUUGAGAGAAAUCGCCACGGACAGAUACGGAGCAGACACUG